rnacentral:lncRNA from 1 species
GAUGAAUGUCAUUUCCACUCAUAUUUGUUGGUCAGAUUUGGACUUCAGAGCCAGGGGUGACAGUGCAGAAAAAUGUUAUCACCCCCCAGGAAGGGGUAGCACGUACUUCUGAGCAGCAUCACAGCCCUGGACAGCUUUCCAGAGAGUGUCGUCUCGUUAGUGCCGUGCCUGUCACGUCAGGGUCACCUGCCCCCUCUCACUGUCACACUCAUUCUGCCAACUUGCGGAGACUCUGGAAAUGA